GACGAACGCUGGCGGCGUGCUUAACACAUGCAAGUCGAACGAAGUGGCGAACGGGUGAGUAAUACGUGGGUAACCUGCCCUCCUUUAUAGGAUAAGCAUUGGAAACGGGGUCUAAUACCGAAUAAAGGGGGAUGUGCUCGCGGCCUAUCAGCUUGUUGGUGGGGUGAUGGCCUAGCAAGGCGGUGCCGGGUAGCCGGCCUGAGAGGGUGACCGGCGACAAUGGGGAUGAGAUACGGCCGAGAUUCGUACGGGAGGAAGCAGUGGGGGAUAGCGCACAAUGGGAGAAAGGCUGAUGCAGCGACGCCGCGUGGGGGAUGAAGGCUUUCGGGUUGUAAACCUCUUUGGCUAUCGAACGGGUACGUGGAGAAGAAGCGCCGGCUAACUACGUGCCAGCAGCCGCGGUAAUUC
rnacentral:rRNA from 1 species